rnacentral:rRNA from 1 species
CAGGGCGAAUGUCUUGUAAUUGGAAUGAUGGUGACCCAAACCCUCACCAGAGUAGCAAUUGGAGGGCAAGUCUGGUGCCAGCAGCCGCGGUAAUUCCAGCUCCAAUAGCGUAUAUUAAACUUGUUGCAGUUAAAAAGCUCGUAGUUGUAUUUUUGCGUUAGCGGUUUGACCAUUUGGUUGGUUAUUUCGUUUUCGCUUUUGGGAAUUUCCCUUUUUACUUUGAGAAAAUUACAGUGUUUCAAGCAGACUUUUGUCUUGAAUACUUCAGCAUGGAAUAAUAGAGUAGGACUUUGGUUCUAUUUUGUUGGUUAUUGAACCUUAGUAAUGGUUAAUAGGAACGGUUGGGGGCAUUCGUAUUUAACUGUCAGAGGUGAAAUUCUUAGA